rnacentral:rRNA from 1 species
AGCGAACGCUGGCGGCAGGCCUAACACAUGCAAGUCGAACGGACCCUUCGGGGUUAGUGGCGGACGGGUGAGUAACACGUGGGAACAUGCCUUUUGGUUCGGAAUAGCUCCUGGAAACGGGUGGUAAUGCCGAAUGUGCCCUUUGGGGGAAAGAUUUAUCGCCAUUAGAGCGGCCCGCGUCUGAUUAGCGAGUUGGUGAGGUAAAGGCUCACCAAGGCGACGAUCAGUAGCUGGUCUGAGAGGAUGACCAGCCACAUUGGGACUGAGACACGGACCAAACUCCUAAGGGAGGCAGCAGUGGGGAAUCUUGCGCAAUGGGCGAAAGCCUGACGCAGCCAUGCCGCGUGAAUGAUGAAGGUCUUAGGAUUGUAAAAUUCUUUCACCGGGGACGAUAAUGCCGGUACCCGGAGAAGAAGCCCCGGCUAACUUCGUGCCAGCCGCCGCAGUAAUAC